CAGUGUCCCUGAGCUGGGUUCAGUCGUCCCCCCCAACCCCUGCAGCCGGCAGGUGUUUCCUGAUAGUCCCGGUUCACCACUGCGGAUUGAGGCGCCGAUUCGAGCCGCGAUUCCUGCCUCAGUCCUCUUCCCCCACCAAGGAUGGUUCCCGUCUCUCGAAAUUGGUGGGGUUGGACUUUAUCUCUUUUUGCUUUGAGGAUCUACAGUGUGUAAGCUCGCGCUGGCCUGCAAAAGAAUCUUGCAGAGCGCCAUGUGCUAGAGGAUGGGCGAAUGAGAGCUUGGAGAUGCCUGAGGUAUGGCAGGAUGACAGGUUGGAGGUCCAGGUGAGAAAGCAGGCUUGAAAACCUAACAGAGGAUUCCUCAUUCUGGAAAUCAGUUCCUGACUAACUUAUUACUGUAUUAAAAGUGUUGUAAUUAA